AGUGAACGCUGGCGGUAGGCUUAACACAUACAAGUCGAACGGCAGCACAGUAAGAGCUUGCUCUUACGUGUGGCGCGUGGCGGAAGGGUGCGGUAUGCUUCGGACUCUAACUUUUCGCGGGGGCUAACGUAGGGUAACUCACGCUAAUACCGCAUACGACCUACGGGUUAAAGCCGCGGAUCUUCGGACAUUGCGCGAUUGAAUGACCCGGUAUCGGAUUGGCUAGUAGGCGGGGUAAAGGCCGACCAAGGCGACGAUCCGUAGCUGGUCUGAGAGGAUGAUCAGGCACAUUGGAACUGAGGCACGGUCCAGACUCCUACGGGAGGCAGCAGUGGGGAAUAUUGGACAAUGGGGGCAAGCCUGAUCCAGACAUAGCGCGUGGGUGAAGAAGGCAUACGGGUUGUGAAACGCUGUUGUUUGGGAAGAAAAGCAGCAGGUUAAUACCCCGCUGUUCUGACGGUACCUAAAGAAUAAGCACCGGCUAACUACGUG
rnacentral:rRNA from 1 species